rnacentral:rRNA from 1 species
AACGAACGCUGGCGGCAGGCCUCAAACAUGCAAGUCUAGGGGGUGCAGCAAUGCAUCACCGGCGGACGGGUGCGUAACGCGUGGGAAUAUACCUUUUGGUUCGGAACAACUGCGGGAAACUGCAGCUAAUACCGAAUGUGCCCUAACGGGGAAAGAUUUAUCGCCAAAGGAUUAGCCCGCGUAGGAUUAGCUAGUUGGUGAGGUAAUGGCUCACCAAGGCUCCGAUCCUUAGCGUUCUGAGAGGAAGAUCAGCCACACUGGGACUGAGACACGGCCCAGACUCCUACGGGAGGCAGCAGUUGGGAAUCUUGGACAAUGGGGAAACCCUGAUCCAGCCAUGCCGCGUGAGUGAUGAA